CGCAUCUGUGCAUGCAGCAUAUCAAUAAGCGGAGGAAAAGAAACUAACAAGGAUUCCCCUAGUAACGGCGAGUGAAGCGGGAAGAGCUCAAAUUUGAAAUCUUAAAGGGUUUCCCUUUACGAAUUGUAGUUUAAAGAAGUGUUUUCUGUUGAGGUUUUGGUAAAAGUUCUUUGGAAUAGGACAUCAUAGAGGGUGAGAAUCCCGUAUUUGACCUUUACUUUCAACUUUGUGAUACACUUUCAAAGAGUCGGAUUGUUUGGGAAUGCAGUCCAAAAUGGGUGGUAAAUUUCAUCUAAAGCUAAAUAUUGGCGAGAGGACCGAUAGCGAACAAGUACCGUGAGGGAAAGAUGAAAAGAACUUUGAAAAGAGAGUUAAACAGUACGUGAAAUUGUCAAAAGGGAAGCGUUUGACACCAGUGUUGUUUUUCUGAAAAUCAAUUAAAGAACUGUUUAUGCUAAGCUGUUUAGACUUUAUCAGCUAACUGUUUAGUUUUGAGCUUUUCUUUAAUGCACUUUUCAGUUAACAAGUCAACAUCAAUUUCUUUUGCUGUAAAAAAGCUUGAGGAAGGUGGCUUGAGAUUCGUCUUAAGUGUUUAUAGCCUCUUGCCUAUGCAGUCGGAGAGAUUGAGGUCUGCAGCGUAGAUCCUUCGGGGCUAAAUGCAUUUGUGCUAAGUUAUAGCAUUUUAUAGACAACUUGUUGACUAUGAUUUGUCUUGUAGCUUACUCGCUUAUGUUAUUUUACCUACGCUUAGGAUGUUGAACGCGCACAGAGUCUC
rnacentral:rRNA from 1 species